rnacentral:lncRNA from 1 species
AGAAUAGUCAAGUAUCAUUCAAAACCUUUCAAGGCUCACAAAGAGCAUAUGGAUUCUAGAUGUCAAUACAUACAUGACUAGAACUUACCUGGAGACACACAGCCAGCAAGAUGAGCAUCUGGAGCAGAGACACAGUAUUUCAAGGUGGUCAGAUUUUUGUAGCUGUGUAAUCAAAGCAGGUACUGAGAGAGGACGAAGGCUUCACGAGCGUGUUUGAAACCAAGACUUGAUAGGUGAAUAGCGAUCAGCCCUGAUGGAGAUCUGGACUCUGGCCAUGACGUGUUUGGAACUGCCUUGGGAUAUAGAAAUGUUUUUUACAAUUCCUGACACUGCAAGCUUGUGUUUUAGUUGGGGGAUGCAAGCUAGAAUGUGUAAAAUAUCCAUUAAUAAUACAAGACAUAUUAUGAGUAACUGGUAAAUCGUGUGGAACAGCAUAAAAGUACAAUAGCAAUUGAGAGUUGAAGCGAAUGAACAGAGUGUGGUGGGUAGUCAGCGGGAAGGAGGGAUGGAAGUUGAAUGUUUAAAAUAAGCAGAAUCUGGCUAAAUGAGGAAGAGGGGGUGUUGAGGGGACUGAGUAUUUUCGGUGACCAACUGAAACAGGGACAGUGUCUACAAGCUCUUGACUCCUAAAGAGACUGGCCUCGAUAAAAUCAAUGUUAAAAAUAGCGGGAGAGAAAGGUCUAUUGGAAGCUUUGGGCAAAAACGUAGAUAGUUUUGAGAAGAGUGGAAGAAAUAAGAAUACAUUUAUGGAAUUUUACUUUAACGGAAGAUAGCGGUGAGGGCUUGAACACUAAGGAAUUAAUGAGAGAUCAGCCCCUUUAGCGACUCAAAGCAUAUUAUAACUCCAGCUGGUCAAAAAGAGAGGAAAUAAAUAAUAUAACAGGAACAACUGGAAGAGCAAGUGCAGCAUCAGGUUGGUGCAUUUCUUCUGAUCAAAAGGUCGAAUUGCAACUGGUCUUUGAAGAGUGUGCUGGUGACAGUGUGCAACCUUUGCGGUAGCUCCUGGACUGGCCCUAGACUGCUGUCAAAUUAAACCAGCACUGUAAAGAAGAGAGCAAGUUGAAUGAAGUUGAAUGAAGGGGCAUCUUAAUUCCAAUCCUGGCUCUAAUGCUGACUGUAAGCAUGACCCCGGAUGAGUUAUUCACUCUCUCAGUCUCAGUCUCCUCAUCCACAAAGCAGGGAUCACAAUAAAUGAAUAGCACCUUUCACAGA